rnacentral:rRNA from 1 species
UACGUAGGGGGCUAGCGUUGUCCGGAAUCAUUGGGCGUAAAGCGCGUGUAGGCGGUUCGGUAAGUCUGCUGUGAAAGUCGGGGGCUCAACCCUCGAAUGCCGGUGGAUACUGUCGGACUAGAGUGCGGAAGAGGCGAGUGGAAUUCCUGGUGUAGCGGUGAAAUGCGCAGAUAUCAGGAGGAACACCAAUUGCGAAGGCAGCUCGCUGGGACGUUACUGACGCU